UAACCAAGUAGUGAUUCUGAUUGCAGCUGC
rnacentral:piRNA from 1 species